AUUGAUGUUGCAUAUGGAAUAAAUGGAGUUGCUAAAGGAAUUGGGCCAGUCCAUUGCUAAAGGAAUUGGGCCAGGAAAAGGGUAUGUGGAUGUUUCUACAAUUGAUGUUGCUACUUCAAAAUUAAUUAACCAACAUAUUAAGCAAACAGGAGCAUCAUAUUUAGAGGCUCCAGUUUCAGGCUCU